rnacentral:rRNA from 1 species
GUAGGUGGCAAGCGUUGUCCGGAAUUAUUGGGCGUAAAGCGCGCGCAGGCGGUCCUUUAAGUCUGAUGUGAAAGCCCACGGCUCAACCGUGGAGGGUCAUUGGAAACUGGGGGACUUGAGUACAGAAGAGGGAAGCGGAAUUCCAAGUGUAGCGGUGAAAUGCGUAGAGAUUUGGAGGAACACCAGUGGCGAAGGCGGCUUUCUGGUCUGUAACUGACGCUGAGGCGCGAAAGCGUGGGGAGCAAACAGGGAUUAGAUACCCUGGUAGUCCACGCCGUAAACGAUGAGUGCUAAGUGUUAGGGGGUUUCCGCCCCCUUAGUGCUGCAGCUAACGCAUUAAGCACUCCGCCUGGGGAGUACGGCCGCAAGGCUG